AGCAAUGUAGCGCAGUGGAAGCGUGAUGGGCUCAUAACCCAUAGGUCGUAGGAUCGAAACCUACCAUUGCUA